UAAUCCAUUGUGGUUAGUGCGUACGUAUAUGUAUAUGUUUGUAUGGUGGGUGGUGGAUGUGUGAGGGAUCAAAGGAGGGAGAAGUGCAUCAAAAGUUGUUAUGUCACAGUAUGUACUGUGGCUAUGUUCCAAAUUUACUGCCAGCAGCCAGUGAUGAAAAUAUAGUUACGUUACGUGUAUUAUAGAUUUUCACUCGGAUUUUCAGUACAGACAGUCAAUUUUGGAUGGAACAUAGCCUAAGAAGACGAAGCGUGAUGACGCAUCGAGAAGGCUUGAAGAGUGCUCGAGCCAAGUUAUUAUCACUAUUAUAUAGUUAAUCAAUUGAUCCACUAUAAAACGAUGGAGAACAUUCGUUCACCGAUGGAUAAUCUCUUCAAUAUGCUGUCAGGCUUCAGCGCAGGCCAAGAGAAAGCCCUGAAACAAGGAAUCUAUAACGCUGUUGCACUUUUCUUCCUGUGCCUCGUCUCGGUAGCCGGUUACGGUCUCUACAUUAUACUGAGACCUUUUGUUAAACCUUUAAUCUGGGCAUUGCUGUGCGGUUCUGUUCUCUUCCCAUUUAAGUGUUUGCUGGUUACAGCGGUGCAAUCUUGGUUCACCAAAGUGGAGGUAUCACGCACCUUACUAAUCGUCAAUGUCAGCUUAUUACCGGUACACAUAUUUGACAAUGUCUCCGAAAGAGUGGGUUCAUUUUUAUGGAUGCGCAUCAAGUAUAUCGUUUGGACAGUAUUACUGGCAUUGGUGGCUGUAGGCUUAUAUCAUUUCACUCCUAAUGUGAUAAUGUGUCUCGCCUGGAGAAUGUUCCAGACAUUUAGCAUUAUUUCUGGAUUCUUCAUUCUGGCAUGCAACAUCUUUACGGUUUCUACCGUACUCGUCGGUUACUUCAUGAUUCUGUAUAUCUAUUGGACACCGUCAAAUUCGGCUCAUUUUCGUUACAUGUCCUUCAUGAUGUGGUUCAUCAUCAGCAUGUAUUUAUCGAGUAUAGCGGGUUCUUACCAGGUUUUGAUCUUUGCUGCUCUACAAAUUCUAUGCAUAAUAGGAUUUAUUUACGAAGUGAUACUCGUUAUGGAUAGUCAUGAGUUGAAUGGUAAACAUUUGACAUUCUCGCAAGCAGCCCGUUUUGCUUUAACAAACGAAUUAUUGCCGAGCCAGCAAGAAGAUAAAUCAACUUCACUCGAGGACGAGCAUACAAAGAACUGUAUUCCGGAAGGCGAAAGCGUGGAUACGCCGAUUUGCUCUCAAGAAGCAGGAAGAUCGACAUCUCCUGAUGCAACGGGUAUCGAAAGAAUACGUAGCACGUCGAGACGUGGAGUAAAAUCAUUAUCUUUGGAUACGGAUGCUGGUUUAUCCGUAAUGGGUGUGACAACACGUAGACCUGCGUAUAACAUACAUUAUAUAACUCGUGCGACAUUACGCGACCGUUAUCUGCUGGGCAAAAUAAGAGCCGAAUUACGAACGUCUCUAGAUAUGCAAGAUGAUGAAGUUGAUACUGACAAAUACAUGUAUGGGGCACUAUAUGCAUGUGCUGGGAUGCUUCUCUGGAAACACAGAUGGAUCGCACACAUUCUGGUGAUCCCAUUGGUAUAUUAUAUUGUCAAGCAAUUGGGUAGCUAUUUCGGUUUUUGGAAAAUGAUACUCGAGCAUUGCAACUCAAUGAUAGAAAUGCUCAAGUCGUGGUGCAUGGAUCGACAUCAAGCACUCAUACCCUCCAAUAUCAGAGGUCUCUAUAAAAUAAGUGUUAUCGUGGAUGAGAAACUAAGAAAUAUUCUGAAAAACUCCGUCAAUGCGGUAGCGACUACAUCUGUAAUACUUGGCUUGAUUGUUUUCGUUACUUGCGCAUCUAUCUUUAUUAUGAUACAGAUCUAUGCAGAAGGCUUGCAUCUUGUUCAAGUAACAGGUGAAAUAUUAAAUUCUACUUUGAUGAGCAAUUCUGAUAUCGAUUGGGUUCCAGAAAAGUGGGAAGAGUCCGUUAACAGUGUUUUAGAUAACGUUUACACAUAUGGACGAAGUGCUAUAUCGGAUGGCAUUCGGGGUCUCGUAAAAGAUCUCGAACCGACGAAAGCGGAACAAAUGGAGAAGAAAGUCUUAGAGCUGUGGGAUCGUCUCUAUCAAGCAUGGAUGAUGUCAAAUAUGGAUCCGAAUCUCGUGGGUCCUACCGUAGAUGCUAUGUCUGCGUAUUCCGCUUGGGAAAACUUCAAAGAUAGCUUUGGAAAAACACCUAUACAUUUGUUCAAUAUGACUAGUAUACAGAAUUUUGUCAAAGAAAAUAUUGGCAUUCUUACAUCAGUGUUUGAUUCUGUUUGGAGCAUUGUUAAAGGCAAUAUAUCUGUAAUACUAACAAUUUUUACGGAGUUAUUUUAUAUUGUACUCAUGAGUGGAUCAGCCGUACUUAAUUUUGUACUCAGCACGUUCCAGCGAUAAAACUUAUAAACCCAUCGAACUGACAACAAUGUUUAGUCCUAUUAGUUGUCACAGAUUUGCUAUGUCAUUACAAGAAGCAGUGAUUGGGGUAUUCGCAGCCACUUUUAAACUUGCGUCUUUCUUCGGCAUG